GGCAGUGGUAGCUCAGUGUUUAAGAUGUUGGACAACUGCUCGGAAGGUCAUGAGUUCAAAUCCCAGCACUGCCA